CGCGUAGGUGGUAGUGAAAGUCUAUGGUGGAAUCUUAGGGCUUAACCCUAAACUGCCUUGGAAACUUCAUUACUUGAGUCAGUGAGGGGAGGGUAGAAUUCCUGGUGUAGCGGUGAAAUGCGUAGAUAUCAGGAGGAAGGCCGGUGGCGAAGGCGGCCCUCUGGCGCUGAACUGACGCUGAGGCGCGAAAGCGUGGGUAGCAAACAGGAUUAGAUACCCUGGUAGUCCACGCCCUAAACGGUGGGUACUAGGUGUAGGGCUCGUAAGGGUUCUGUGCCGAAGGGAAACCAUUAAGUACCCCGCCUGGGGAGUACGGCCGCAAGGUUGAA
rnacentral:rRNA from 1 species